GCUGGGUGCGGUGGCGCAUGCCUGUAGUCCCAGCUACUCAGGAGGCUGAGGUGGGAGGAUUGCCUGAGCCCAGGAGUUCUGGGCUGUAGUGUGCUAUGCCGAUCAGGUGUCUGUACUAAGUUGGGCGUUAGUAUGGUGACCUCUCUGAAGCAGGGGACCACCAGGUUGCCUAAGGAGGGGUAAACUGGCCCAGGUUGGAAAUGGAGCAGGUCAAAACUCCUGUGCUGAUCAGUAGAGGGAUUGCACCUAUGAAUAGCCACUGCUCUCCAGCCUGGGCAACAUAGCGAGACCCCCGUCUCU
rnacentral:SRP_RNA from 1 species